UUUACCAGAGGUGCUGGAGUUUCCCAGGAACGACAGAUAUGAACUUCCUGCAUGUUCUGGAAUGACUCACCGUGAUUUAAACUCCCCCGCUUUAACAUGAGGAAAUCCAUAUAUUUUUUUGGUGCAUGAGUCACAAGAAUUUCAGGAAGAAAAAUUAUAAACUGCGACAAAACUAUGAUGAAUUAAGAUGAACAAUGGAGUCCAGCUGGAACAGUUGUCCUUUGAAGACUUCACUUAGGUUGCUGCCAC
rnacentral:lncRNA from 1 species